GAUGAACGCUGGCGGCGUGCCUAAUACAUGCAAGUAGAACGCUGAAGCUUGGUGCUUGCACCGAGCGGAUAAGUUGCGAACGGGUGAGUAACGCGUAGGUAACCUGCCUCUUAGCGGGGGAUAACUAUUGGAAACGAUAGCUAAUACCGCAUAAAAGUCGAUAUCGCAUGAUAUUGAUUUGAAAGGUGCAAAUGCAUCACUAAGAGAUGGACCUGCGUUGUAUUAGCUAGUUGGUGAGGUAACGGCUCACCAAGGCGACGAUACAUAGCCGACCUGAGAGGGUGAUCGGCCACACUGGGACUGAGACACGGCCCAGACUCCUACGGGAGGCAGCAGUAGGGAAUCUUCGGCAAUGGGGGCAACCCUGACCGAGCAACGCCGCGUGAGUGAAGAAGGUUUUCGGAUCGUAAAGCUCUGUUGUAAGAGAAGAACGAGUGUGAGAGUGGAAAGUUCACACUGUGACGGUAACUUACCAGAAAGGGACGGCUAACUACGUG
rnacentral:rRNA from 1 species